UACGGAGGGGGCUAGCGUUGUCCGAAUUUACUGGGCGUAAAGCGCGCGUAGGCGGGUUGGUAAGUCCGCUGUGAAAGCCCGGAGCUCAACUCCGGAGGGUCGGUGGAUACUGCCAGUCUUGAAGGUGCUAGGGGGAGAUGGAAUUACCGGUGUAGCGGUGAAAUGCGUAGAUAUCGGUAGGAACACCAGUGGCGAAGGCGGUCUCCUGGGGCAUUCUUGACGCUGAGGCGCGAAAGCUGGGGGAGCAAACGGG
rnacentral:rRNA from 1 species